CCCUUCAAACGAAACUGCGCGACACCCCCACCCCCCAAAUGAAACUGCGUCUACCCUAACCCCCAAAUCCACAAUCCAUACCCUAACCUUCAGUACUCAUCGCUCCCUCUUCUCCAAAUAUACACACCUGCCGGCUGCCGACCUGCGCACCCAGCCACACCUGCCGACCUGCGCACCCAGCCACCCACCACCGCGAAGCCUUUGGCUCAUCGCACAUCAGGCCAAGACGAAGCCACCACCGACCGACUCGACACGGCAGCACAGCACCACGCCGCCGCCGUUGAGACGCCAGCACCCUAACCCAUCAAUUCAACCCAGCACGGCAGCACCUCCCAGUCUCCCACUCAGCCUUCCUCCCAAGUCAAUAUGGAGCACGAGCCACCGAUUUAGGUGUCUCAAUUACUUUCUGUGACAUAUGUUGUUUCUGAAUCGAGAGAGAAACUUUCUCUGCCAUAUAUUAGCAAAAGUUUGGGUGAAAAUGCUUGGGCUUCGUGUUUCCACCAAGCGUCCAUUGGAACUCAUGAUACUCACUCAUCUCCUCUAACUGGAAGAUGCAAGGGUUCAGAUAAUUCCAACAUAGCAGGGACAUACAACUUAUCCAGGCUUGUGCCUGAUGACACUGAAGUUCUUGCAGAAUGUGUAAAAGCCCAUUUGUUAUGAUUGUUUCUUGUUUUAUUAAUAUAUAUCGCAUCUAUAUUUUUCAAAGUUUAUUAAUAUAUAUCAUUUGUUAUGUUUGUUUCUUGUUUUAU